CCCUUCCCAUCCCGAACAGGACCGUGAAACGACUCUACGCCGAUGAUAGUGCGGAUCUCCCGUGUGAAAGUAGGUAAUCGUCAGGCU
rnacentral:rRNA from 1 species